AUGUGCAAACAGCCCCGCCGGUCUCUCUCUCUCCUCUCUCCGCCUCCCUCUGCCUGGCAACCAUCUUCCACCAGCAGAGUCCAGAGCCAGUGGCUGGUGACCUGCAGAAAGGUAGCCUGCAUGUUGGAGGAGCCACGGGGACCCCAAUCCACCGGCUGGAGUGGGCUAGUGAGGCCCUCGCGAGCUUCCCUCUGGUCCUCAAAGGGGAGAGAGGCACGUCUUGCCCCCAUGCGGCCCUUGACUCAGCAUCAGCAGAGAUGGAAAGCUGAGAGCAGAUGGAAGGGUUGCGACCCAGCCAGGUGGAGUGGGUUCCCGCGGCUCGCACAGCUUGUCGUAGGGAAGGAACAGAUCCUCCCACGAACGAGAGAAAAUGGAGCCAGGAUUAGCUGCCGCGAGGUGGAAAUGGAAUGGACUUGAUGAUGCAUCAUCUAGAACUUGAAAGCAAGAUCCAUACUGGAUGAAGCCCAUGCAUUGACUGAAUAUCAGAUAUUUCACUCAGGGAGCAUUUUGGGGGUGUCUGCUGAAUGCACCGUGACCCCACCGCUUGGCCAGAUUUCUCCUUUCUUGGACUUUCCAGUUUGCAGCACGACAAAGCCCGGGUAGGGUUCCAGUUGGGCCUUCCUUCUCCGCGCACCUCACUUCCCCGGCACUUCAGUGGCUGCGCCCACAGCCUGCUUUAAGGGACACUGCAAGGCUUAAACGUGGCCGUGCAUGGCAAGUGCGAGUGCAGGAAGCAUGCGACACAUGUCACUAUCAGUAUCUUUGUGUCAUCAUGUUGUCAUUGCUUAAGAAGGAUGCGACUCCCUUCGGAUGCCCCGACCCCCUCGGCGAGCGCGGCCACAGGUGCAAGCCCUGCACCUGCUCUGAGGUCGGCCGGUAAAGGGGAGGGGCCGCCCCUCCGCUUUGGACAGAGAAGCCCAGGGGUCCUUCAGCUUGUGGAGGGUGCAGCGGGGGAAGGUGGGUAAUGGUGGCGGCCUCCAGCAGUGGCAUUUGUCAUCGUGUCCAAGAAGGGACAGAGGAAAGCCAUGCUGGGCUCAUUUGUGUCCCUGUCCCCUCGUCCAGCCUGUCAACCAUCCCCAAUGUCUUGCCUCCCACCACCCUUGCUUCUGACAGAAAAGAUGGGAACACCCGCCUUCCCCCGAAGGGACAUUUCUCCGACACUCAAGGACCAUAUAUACGGGACAAUUACUGCUCAAACACUGCACACGUCUGCAUGCGGGUGUAAAUCAUACAGCGGCCAUAAAAGCAGCCCUAACCAGAUCGCACCGGCUCCGCAGGAGCUCCCACGGGCCGGGCUGCUUUAUCUCGCUGGCACAUGGAGAGGGGAGCCGGCCGCCCGCUUGGAGGACCCAGAACAGCCUAAUAUUAUUUAUUUUUAAUCAACCAUUUCGGCAUGCUCCCUCUAGUCAAAGGCAAA
rnacentral:lncRNA from 12 species